CAGGGAUACACACGGAUACACUUAGGCCCCCAGAUCUGAAACCCCUGCUGAAUCCAGCCUGCGCGCGUCGGCGUCCGGAGCACAGCGCUGCCAGCCCGGAGUGGGCUGCCAAGGGGGCAUGAGCGCUAAUUUGGCGGCUCCGCGCCUUCCCCGCCAGGGACCUCUCCGCUAGAGCACAUCCCGGGAAACAAACACCUAGGAAGAGCAGGGCUGAAAACCGCCGGGGGCCGGGGGCUGACGCUGGUAACCGAAGCCGCAGUGCCUGGGGCCGGGCGCGCGGGCCGGGCUGGGCGGAGGGCCUCGGAGCACCCCGCCGCCGGGAGCCUGUUCGCGAGGAUUGGCCCCGCGCGCGGCCCGACCUGGGAAGCGGGUGGAGGCUGCUCCCCCCUCUCCCCACCCCGCCCGCAGGGGCAGAGCGCGGCGCAGCGGCGGCGGGGCGGCUCGGUGCCCGGCGGGCGGGCGGCCCGUCUGCGCGGCCCGGGCGGCCUGCGGUCGGGAUGAGGACUGCCCUCCGCGCCCAGAGCGCCGGGGCCGCCGCGGCCGUGCCGGGAGCUCCAUCGCGUCCGCCAGCGCGGCGACCGGAGCGGGGCCCUCGGAGCGGGAGCCAAGAAAUCCUCAUUCCUCAGGAAACUGACCUGUGCAGCCUCCCAGCUGAGGGCCUGAUUCCCCAGGUAUGUAGCUGAGGACAGCUGGACACUGUCAGGCCUGCACCUGGCCAGCUCCCUCCAUCUCCCCACCCUACCUCCCCGAGAGACCUUCUCCCAAAUUCUGCUGUCGGAGGUGGCCACGGGGCUCCGAACCACAGCCCUGAGCCCGGGAGGGGGUGUGGGCAGCAGGGCAGCAGCAGCCAGGCCCCUCCUUCUGCAACAUCUCCACAGCAUCUACCUGUGCCAGCGAUGGAACAGUUAGGGUUUUAAUCAGGAAAAUAUGUCGGUUCCCAAACGUUUUCUGUUAGAUGUCUCAGGAGGAGGCAUUGGCUUAUCUCACCCCCUGCCAUGACCCUCUGAAAAGGUUCUGGUAUUACCAGGUCACAGAGGGAGAGACCAAGGCUAAGGGAGGCUGGAUGGCAUGCCAUCAUGGGGCGGGGGAUCUGAGCAGGGGCUGCUGACCCUGUCGGCCCCUCACCACCCACUCACCCUGCCCUGUGGACACAGCUUGGGGCCUGGGUCUGCAGGGCCUUCAUGCUAUCGCUCCUCCAACCUCACCUGCCACCCUCUGGAAGCCACACCAGUGGCCAUACCAGUGUCCCAGGGGCUGGCGGGCUCAGGGCUGUGAGGAAGGCCCCAUGAGGUCAGAGGCACUCACUCACCCAUCCACACACCUGAUCCCAUGGGCCUCAAGGCCUUUCGCCCUGGAAGCCCUGGGCCUGGGGCUGGUGCUGGAUCAGCCUGAGUCCUGCCCCCUUGGGCUGUCUGGGAACUCAGGAGGGGAGGUCCCACAGGCC
rnacentral:lncRNA from 1 species